rnacentral:rRNA from 1 species
GAUGAACGCUGGCGGCGUGCCUAAUACAUGCAAGUCGAGCGAACAGACGAGGAGCUUGCUCCUCUGACGUUAGCGGCGGACGGGUGAGUAACACGUGGAUAACCUACCUAUAAGACUGGGAUAACUUCGGGAAACCGGAGCUAAUACCGGAUAAUAUAUUGAACCGCAUGGUUCAAUAGUGAAAGACGGUUUUGCUGUCACUUAUAGAUGGAUCCGCGCCGCAUUAGCUAGUUGGUAAGGUAACGGCUUACCAAGGCAACGAUGCGUAGCCGACCUGAGAGGGUGAUAGGCCACACUGGAACUGAGACACGGUCCAUACUCCUACGGGAGGCAGCAGUAGGGAAUCUUCCGCAAUGGGCGAAAGCCUGACGGAGCAACGCCGCGUGAGUGAUGAAGGUCUUCGGAUCGUAAAACUCUGUUAUUAGGGAAGAACAAAUGUGUAAGUAACUAUGCACGUCUUGACGGUACCUAAUCAGAAAGCCACGGCUAACUACGUG